rnacentral:rRNA from 1 species
AACCUCCGCAAUGUGAGAAAUCGCGACGGGGGGAUCCCAAGUGCCAUUCUUAACGGGAUGGCUUUUCAUUAGUGUAAAGAGCUUUUGGAAUAAGGGCUGGGCAAGACCGGUGCCAGCCGCCGCGGUAACACCGGCAGCUCUAGUGGUAGCAGUUUUUAUUGGGCCUAAAGCGUCCGUAGCCGGUUUAAUAAGUCUCUGGUGAAAUCCUGUAGCUUAACUGUGGGAAUUGCUGGAGAUACUAUUAGACUUGAGACCGGGAGAGGUUAGAGGUACUCCCAGGGUAGAGGUGAAAUUCUGUAAUCCUGGGAGGACCGCCUGUCGCGAAGGCGUCUAACUGGAACGGUUCUGACGGUGAGGGACGAAAGUUAGGGGCGCGAACCGGAUUAGAUACCCGGGUAGUCCUAACUGUAACGAUGCGGACUUGGUGUUGGGGUGGCUUUGAGCUGCUCCAGUGCCGAAGGGAAGCUGUUAAGUCCGCCGCCUGGGAAGUACGGUCGCAAGACUGAAACUUAAAGAAUUA